GUGUCAGCCGCCGCGGUAAGACGGACCGUCCGAACGUUACUCGGAAUUACUGGGCGUAAAGGGCUCGUAGGUGGUUUCUUAGGUCUCACGUGAAAUUCCCUGGCUCAACCAGGGAGGGUCGUGGGAAACCGAGAGGCUAGAGGGCAGGAGAGGAGAGUGGAAUUCCCGGUGUAGCGGUGAAAUGCGUAGAGAUCGGGAGGAACACCAGUGGUGAAGACGGCUCUCUGGACUGUUCCUGACGCUGAGGAGCGAAAGCCAGGGGAGCAAACCGGAUUAGAUACCCGGGUAGUCCUGGCCGUAAACGAUGGGUACUAGGUGUGGGGGGUUCGACCCCCUCCGUGCCGCAGUUAACGCAUUAAGUACCCCGCCUGGGGACUACGACCGCAAGGUUAAAACUCAAAUAAAUUGACGG
rnacentral:rRNA from 1 species